AACGAACGCUGGUGGCGUGUUUUAUACAUGCAAGUCGAGCGAGGACAGUAGCUUGCUACUGAGCCGAGCGGCGAACGGGUGAGUAACGCGUAAGCAAUCUGCCCCACAAUCGGGAACAACCGUGCCAACGCGCGGCUAAUGCCGGAUAUUGUGUCCUACUGCAUAGUAGGUUAACGAAAGAUUUAUCGUUGUGGGAUGAGCUUGCGUCCGAUUAGCUAGUUGGCGGGGUAAUAGCCCACCAAGGCGACGAUCGGUAGCCGGCCUGAGAGGGUGAUCGGCCACAUUGGGACUGGGAUACGGCCCAGACUCCUACGGGAGGCAGCAGUAGGGAAUAUUGCGCAAUGGGGGAAACCCUGACGCAGCAACGCCGCGUGAAGGAAGAAGGCCUUCGGGUUGUAAACUUCUUUGAUAGGGGACGAUAAUGACGGUACCCUAAAACAAGACCACGGCUAACUACGUGCCAGCAGCCGCGGUAAGCAUACUCGUA
rnacentral:rRNA from 1 species